GCAAGACCUCGAAACCGCAGGUCUCCGGACGACGGAUCAGUACCCGGUGAGCGACAAGACUGGCCAAA
rnacentral:ncRNA from 1 species